UAUGUGAUCGUCUCUCGCAUAUCAAUAAGCGGAGGAAAAGAAACUAACAAGGAUUCCCCUAGGUAACGGCGAGUGAAGCGGGAAGAGCUCAAAUUUGGAAUCUUAAAGGGUUUCCCUUUACGAAUUGUAGUUUAAAGAAGUGUUUUCUGUUGAGGUUUUGGUAAAAGUUCUUUGGAAUAGGACAUCAUAGAGGGUGAGAAUCCCGUAUUUGACCUUUACUUUCAACUUUGUGAUACACUUUCAAAGAGUCGGAUUGUUUGGGAAUGCAGUCCGAAAUGGGUGGUAAAUUUCAUCUAAAGCUAAAUAUUGGCGAGAGACCGAUAGCGAACAAGUACCGUGAGGGAAAGAUGAAAAGAACUUUGAAAAGAGAGUUAAACAGUACGUGAAAUUGUCAAAAGGGAAGCGUUUGACACCAGUGUUGUUUUUCUGAAAAUCAAUUAAAGAACUGUUUAUGCUAAGCUGUUUAGACUUUAUCAGCUAUCUGUUUAGUUUUGAGCUUUUCUUUAAUGCACUUUUCAGUUAACAAGUCAACAUCAAUUUCUUUUGCUGUAAAAAAGCUUGAGGAAGGUGGCUUGAGAUUCGUCUUAAGUGUUUAUAGCCUCUUGCCUAUGCAGUCGGAGAGAUUGAGGUCUGCAGCGUAGAUCCUUCGGGGCUAAAUGCAUUUGUGCUAAGUUAUAGCAUUUCAUAGACAACUUGUUGACUAUGAUUUGUCUUGUAGCUUACUCGCUUAUGUUAUUUUACCUACGCUUAGGAUGUUGAAGACUCUACAGAGAU
rnacentral:rRNA from 1 species